rnacentral:rRNA from 1 species
AUCGGCGACCAUACCACGUUGAAAGCACCCGUUCUCGUCCGAUCACCGAAGCUAAGCAACGUUGGGCCCGGUUGGUAUAUGUAUAUCCUACACCCCUAGUCACACUACAGCGGUGUAGCACGGA